rnacentral:rRNA from 1 species
CCCCUAGAUGUUCUGGGCCGCACGCGCGCUACACUGAACAGUUCAACAAGUCUUAACCUUGGCCGAUAGGUCUGGGUAAUCUUUGAACGCUGUUCGUGAUUGGGAUAGACCUUUGCAAUUAUGGGUCUUCAACGAGGAAUUCCUAGUAAACGCAAGUCAUCAGCUUGCAUUGAUUACGUCCCUGCCCUUUGUACACACCGCCCGUCGCACCUACCGAUUGAAUGGUCCGAUGAAAUCUCGGGACGGCGGCUCGGUCGCUUGCGUCCGACUGCUGAAACUUGAUUAAACCAUAUCAUUUAGAGGAAGGUGAAGUCGUAACA